rnacentral:lncRNA from 1 species
GGGGCAACCCACCCCUACAUCUGGUGCCCAACGUGGAGGCUUUUCUCUAGGGUGAAGGUACGCUCGAGCGUGGUCAUUGAGGACAAGUCGACAAGAGAUCCCGAGGACGUCUACAGUCAGCCUUACGAAGAUAAUCUCACUUUAGACAUUUCCAAAUUAAAAGAACAAAUUUUCGAAGCAUCAAAAGCCCAUUUAAAUUUGGUGCCAGGAACUGAGGCAAUUGCAGGAGUUGCUGAUGGCCUCGCAAAUCUUAACCCUGUCACUUGGGUUAAGACCAUUGGAAGUACUACGAUUAUAAAUCUCAUAUUAAUCCUUGUGUGCCUGUUUUGUCUGUUGUUAGUCUGCAGGUGUACCCAACAGCUCCGAAGAGACAGCGACCAUCGAGAACGGGCCAUGAUGACGAUGGCGGUUUUGUUGAAAAGAAAAGGGGGAAAUGUGGGGAAAAGCAAGAGAGAUCAGAUUGUUACUGUGUCUGUGUAGAAAGAAGUAGACAUAGGCGACUCCAUUUUGUUAUGUACUAAGAAAAAUUCUUCUGCCUUGAGAUUCUGUUAAUCUAUAACCUUACCCCCAACCCCAUGCUCUCUGAAACAUGUGCUGUGUCAACUCAGAGUUAAAUGGAUUAAGGGCGGUGCAAGAUGUGCUUUGUUAAACAGAUGCUUGAAGGCAGCAUGCUCCUUAAGAGUCAUCACCACUCCCUAAUCUCAAGUACCCAGGGACACAAAAACUGCGGAAGGCCGCAGGGACCUCUGCCUAGGAAAGCCAGGUAUUGUCCAAGGUUUCUCCCCAUGUGAUAGUCUGAAAUAUGGCCUCGUGGGAAGGGAAAGACCUGACCGUCCCCCAGCCUGACACCUGUAAAGGGUCUGUGCUGAGGAGGAUUAGUAAAAGAGGAAGGAAUGCCUCUUGCAGUUGAGACAAGAGGAAGGCAUCUGUCUCCUGCCUGUCCCUGGGCAAUGGAAUGUCUCGGUAUAAAACCCGAUUGUAUGCUCCAUCUACUGAGAUAGGGAAAAACUGCCUUAGGGCUGGAGGUGGGACCUGCGGGCAGCAAUACUGCUUUGUAAAGCAUUGAGAUGUUUAUGUGUAUGCAUAUCUAAAAGCACAGCACUUAAUCCUUUAUAUUGUCUAUGAUGCAAAGACCUUUGUUCACGUGUUUGUCUGCUGACCCUCUCCCCACAAUUGUCUUGUGACCCUGACACAUCCGCCUCUUCGAGAAACACCCACAGAUGAUCAAUAAAUACUAAGGGAA